AGUCCUCCCCGCCCAACCGAGCCACUGGAGGUGUUCACAGUAAAGAAGUAACUCAAAGAAGCAGUUAAACUUGGGAGCUUAUAUACCCUUCUUUACAAAGAAAAGAGGGUUUGGGCUUCAAGGGAGUUUGUGGGGAAGUAACUGGGAAACAUAUGGAGAACUAAUGGAAGGUUGACAUAUGGUGUCAGAAAGUGGGAACUGAAUCGAUCUCACCUUCAUGGACUGGCAUCCUCUGGAAAUGGCUACAAUACCUACACGAGUCCCUUGUGUUCACCACUUCUAUGGACCGCUAGUUCCUCCAAUAGAAGCUUAGUCCUGAGCUAACAUCUGCUGCCAAUCCUUCUCUUUUUGCUGAGGAAGACUGGCCCUGAGCUAACAUCCGUGCCCAUCUUUCUCCACUUUAUAUGUGGGACGCCUACCACAUGGCUUGCCAAGUGGUGCCAUGUCUGCACCUGGGAUCCAAACUGGCAAACCCUGGGCCACCAAAGAGGAAUGUGUGAACUUAACUGCUGCGCCACCGGGCUGGCCCUGUAGUGAGAUCUUUAACCAUGCCACUUUAAGUCUUUUGUCAUUUACAGACAGUUAUUGUUUUACUCUGAUACUUUUGGAAAUGUGUCUCAUCUUCAGAGAGCUUCAUGGAAAGGACUCUGACCUUCUAGAAUUCAGGUUUCUAGUAAAAUUUCAAAUUAUAAAACUGAACUGGGUAAGAAAUUACAGUACUCCUACAGAGACUCAUGGCUUCAUAAAAUUGCUAACAAAAAGGUCAAAGAACAAAUAAAUAUUAAUUACAUGGGACUACAUGAACCAGGGAGGAUGCUCUAAUGUUUUUUUUUUCCAGAUUUAAAGAAAUCUUUUCUCUUAAGCUGUCACAACGUGGUAGGAUAUAUCUUUGUGAACAAAGAUGAAACAUUUACUUUUUCUCCCUACCUCAUCCCUCCAGAAUUCAGAAACUGUCAGUGAGUAUUCUUAUUUUCCCUUUAUAAAUAAUCAGACCAAGUUUUAAAUUUAAACAAAUGUUUUACUGUUAUUAUUUUUGGUAAAAAAUGAGGGUAAUUGUAGAGAGAAAAAUUAUGUUUGCACCUUUGUAGAUAUUAGAUUCUAGUCCUGUUAAUUGUCUUUGAGGUUUUGUUAUAUACCUGUUGACUGGAUUCCUCUGACCUAAGGUAUUGUCUUUGGUCUUGCCAACUAUUCCCAGUACCCUCUUUGGAAAACAUACUCACUCCACAUAAGAUAGUCACCAGCAGAUAAAUGUCUGUUGACAUACAACCUUCUGCUGAUCCCUCGUUGUCUUAUGCUAGUAUGACCAGUUACUGUAAGUUUCUACUGUCUUCUACUCAAGGCUUUCAUCAACAGGUAAAAGAAACUUUCCUGGAUUCCAAUUUAAAGCAUCCUAUUGGUCAGUCUAGAGCCUGGUGACUAGGUAUUCUGGAAGCAUCAUCAGAGGAAGACAGCCCUCAAGCCUUGUUGAAAAGGACCUUACCAAGUGCUCCUGACCACUGAUACUACUGCAGAACUAGAAGGCAUUGAACCUUGGAGAUACAUCUCACAGCUAAAGAAGGCUACACCCAACAUUUGGUCCUGUGUGAAUGCUGGAGACCUCCAAAUCAAACUGACCAGAAAGAGAAGCAGCCAACAUCUGAAACAGAUAGCUUUUCCAAGAUGGCUGCACCAAGCCUGUACACCUUUUACUCACUGUUGCACCUUACCUUAUUUUCUGUCUGUCUGUCUUGGAAAGACAAUACUCUUAUCCACAUCUCCCAAUCUAUUGCCAAAAGGGUAAAUCUUUCUGACUGUUGGGUUUGUCAUCAGAAGCCUCAUUCUGUACAUGA
rnacentral:lncRNA from 1 species